ensembl:snRNA U6 U6 spliceosomal RNA
GUGACUGCUUCAAGCAUCACACAGACUAAAACUACAAAGAUGGAGAGCAGAUUACCAACGGCCCUGUGCAAGAAUGAUAUGCAAAUUUUGAAGUGCUCCAUAUUUUU